AGCGAACGCUGGCGGCAGGCCUAACACAUGCAAGUCGAACGAACUCUUCGGAGUUAGUGGCGGACGGGUGAGUAACACGUGGGAACGUGCCUUUUGGUUCGGAAUAACUCAGGGAAACUUGUGCUAAUACCGAAUGUGCCCUUCGGGGGAAAGAUUUAUCGCCAUUAGAUCGGCCCGCGUCUGAUUAGCUAGUUGGUGAGGUAACGGCUCACCAAGCCGACGAUCAGUAGCUGGUCUGAGAGGAUGACCAGCCACACUGGGACUGAGACACGGCCCAGACGCAGACGGGAGGCAGCAGUGGGGAAUAUUGGACAAUGGGCGAAAGACUGAUCAAGCUAUGCCGCGGGAGUGAUGAAGGCGUUAGGGUUGGAAAGCUCGUGUACCCGGGAGGAUAAUGACAGGACCGGGAGAAGAAGCGCCGGCUAACUCCGUG
rnacentral:rRNA from 1 species